GACGUAGGGUGCAAGCGUUAAUCGGAAUUACUGGGCGUAAAGCGUGCGCAGGCGGCUUUGCAAGACAGAUGUGAAAUCCCCGGGCUCAACCUGGGAACUGCAUUUGUGACUGCAUGGCUGGAGUGCGGCAGAGGGGGAUGGAAUUCCGCGUGUAGCAGUGAAAUGCGUAGAUAUGCGGAGGAACACCGAUGGCGAAGGCAAUCCCCUGGGCCUGCACUGACGCUCAUGCACGAAAGCGUGGGGAGCAAACAGG
rnacentral:rRNA from 1 species